UUAGAAGUAAUGCCUAGCCAAUCGAAUAC
rnacentral:sRNA from 1 species